UUUUUUUUUUUUUUUUUUUUUUUUUUUCCUCUCCUGUGGCCUGCAGGCCAGGGAUCAAACCUACACCACAGCAGAUCCUUAACCUGCUGUGCCACCUGGAAACUCCAUGCCUGAGUCUCUUGGUCUUCCCUCCACACAUAGAAAUAUCCCGACGUCCUCUUCUUGUUAGGACAUCAGCCAUACUGCAUUAAGACCCAUCCUAAUGACCUCAUGUUAAUUAAUUGCCUCCCGAAAGACCCUGUCUCCAAAUACAGCCACGUUCUGAGGUCCUGGGAGGUAGGACUUUAACAUAUGCAUUUAGGAGUGAGAGGCACAGUUCAGCCGAGACCACACCCUAUCUCUGUCCUCACUACCCCACCCAGGUCUUAAGAACCUGGAGGAGCCUAUGGGAACUUGGUUCUGGGGGCAGAGCUGCAGGGAGCAAAUGAAGAGGGAGGAAGCUUCAGAGAAGGAAAGAGAAAAUUCUGGGAAACCAAAUAACAGUGCACAUCACACUUGAUGAUGAUCAGGAUGGGAACUAAGGGGAAGGAAAAUGUUAUUUACUGACCGUCUUCUCUGCGCUGGGCCUUUGACACGUCAUCUCAUGAAAUCCCCUCAACAAGACUGCAAAAGGAGUAUUCCUAUCCCAUUUUGUAGAUAAAGAAAAUGAUACUCAGGGUGAGUUUAUUUUAUUUAUUUUGUUUUGUCCUUUUAGGGCUGCACCCACAGCAUAUGGAGGUUCCCAGGCUAGGGGUCGAAUCAGAGCUGUAGCUGCUGGCCUAUGCUGCUGGCCUAGCAACACCAAAUCCGAAGCGUAUCUGCAACCUACACCAUAGCUCAUGGCAACACUGGAUCCUUAACCCACUGAGCAAGGCCAGGGAUCAAACCUGUGUCCUCAUGGAUACUAGUCAGAUUCGUCUUGCUGCACACCACGACAAGAACUCCUCAGGGUUAUUUUUUAAAAAACAUCUUGGAUGAGAAAGCCAUGGAGUUAAGGAUCACAGGUCCCAACUUCUCAGUUCAAUGGCCAAAUAAUUUGUUCUAUUUCUUUGGUUACCUUGCUCCUUCCCACCAUGGAACCUGCACAGAUGCUGUUUCCAUCUGCCAAGAACACUUCCUCAUGUUCUCACACCAUGUGUCCUAGUUAAUUCCUGCUCCUCCUCCAACUAUGAGCUCCAGCAUCUCCUCUUCAGAGACUUCUCCCUUAGAUCCCGAAGCCAAGUUCUUUGGUUAUUUGUUCUCCUAGCACCAUGAUCCUCCUGCCCCCAUCGAUUAUCUGAGACGUCUGGUGCCCCUGUUUCCACAGGACUCUCAGCUCCUUGAGGGACCAUACCUGUUUGUAAAUAACUGUGUAUUCCCAUCACCUAGCACAGUGUACGACGCAUGGCAGAUACUCAAUCGAUACCUAUUGGAAUGAAUGAAUAUCACCUCCUCUCAACAGCCUUAAUGAACACUCUGGCUGUCAGCCAGAGACCCCUGGACUGUGGUGCACUGGGCUAGAGCGUCCUGCAUCCAGCCCCCUCUGAGACCCAGGCUUCCUUUCUCCAAUUAGUUCCUAUGACAGUUUUUAUUUCAUCUCGGAACAUCUUAAUAUUGGGCUAUUCUAGUUAGGUUUGUCACUCGCUUUAGACCAUGAGUCUUUGAAAAGAACACCCAGGUCCUAUUCCUUUUGUAUGCCAGGAUCCCAGCUUAUAAACUGCUGCAGAGAAAGUAAUCCAUUGUGAGUUGAGAGGAAGGGUGGAGAGUGGAAAUGCAUUCUGGUGGUGAGAUUUCUCCCACCUAAUGGUGUUCAGAGAGCCAGAUGUGUUUUUUUGGAGAGCCAGUGGAUCAAUCAGGACCCUCAAAUCUCUGAAAAACUCAGUCACCCUUCAGGUAUGGUUGGAUCCAGGAGCUCACACACAUGGCAUCAGGAUAUGAUUUCUGUCCUUCUCUCAACACUGCUUUGCUGUGUUAGCCCUGUACUCACUAGCUUCCAAAAGCUCCAGGCCCCAUAUCUUCUUCACUGUGAGUCCAGUGAAAAGAGAGAGAGAUUUUAUUCCCAAACAGUUCAAACAAAAGUUCAGAAAUUGAAUCCCAUUUGACCAAUUCGGUCACAUGUCUACCCUGAACCAACUACAGUGGCCUAGAAGAACUGAUGCUGGGAUUAGUCAAGCCCUGGUCAUUUGUCCAACUCUGGAGCUGGAGUCAGCUCUGCUGAACCUAUGGGUUUAGAGCUGGCUUGGUAAGCAGGAGACAGGGCAAUAGAUGCUGGGCAGAAAAGACCCACCAUAUUCACUCUGACUGCUAUUUACAGGUCAGCUCCUAACACUCCUGUGAGGCUACUGCAGAGGGUGGUACUUCCCAUUCUCCCUGGCUCUGAGAUGUAACUUCAGCAAAGCUCUGCCUGGCUUCCCACCAUCCUGCUCUCCUCACACCAGCUCAGAAACCUAGUGGGCUGUCAGCCAGAGACCCCUGGACUGUGGUGCACUGGGCUAGAGCGUCCCGCAUCCAGCCCCACCAAGCUCUUCACACAGGAGAGGACUUGCCCCAGGAGAGGCACUUAACCUCCAUGCUCUUUUCUUGUUGCUGACCUUCCUACCAAGACGUCAUUGGUCUUGGCUCCCUUCAUGACUUUAUUUUUUCUAGCUCCCCCAUUAAGGAGGCAGCAGAACCGUAAAAGGGUUUCUCCAAUAACCCCAGUAUUUCAGGCUUUAUCUCCCUGUGGGUUAAAGACACCCUUGCAAGAGUCAGAGAAUGAUUUUUUUUUUUAAUUUUGUUUAGAUUGUUGCAUCUAUGAUGGAUGCAUGGAUGCAUGGAUGCAUGGUACGCAGGCUGGAUGAAUCAAUCCUAGGUGCCUUCAGAACAGCCUAUCUCUGUGUCUUUUCUUAUUUACCAUCUUCAGCUCCAGAUUGUUAUCAGAAUGGAACAGAAUUUUCUUUGUCCUGACAUCAGUGGACAUUCCUCCGUUGUCACAAUGACCAUAUGUGGCACUUACCCUACUUGAGGCACUUAGCUAAGCACUCAUUCGAUCUUCACCACAACUCCACGGGCCAAUCUCGAUGCUGAUAGUGUCUGAAAUGUACAGUUAAGGAAACCAAGACUUAGUGCAGUUGUCCCAGGCACACAGCCAGUCAAUGGCAGAAGCCAGGACUCAACGCAUGUGACUUUAACCACUGUGUUAGAGAGUCCUGUGCGCAGGGAACCUCAGCUCCAGCCACACCAGUUUUCUCAUCCUCCCUUUGAUACGGCGUAUCUUACUCAUGCUGCUCUGCCUGGAGGAAGAUCUUCCAUCCUCCCCUCCAGUUACACUGAUAAUAGGAAAUAUAUUUGUUGGGGCCAAAUAUAUUAAGGCUACAUCACUUAACAAUUAGUCCAAGAGUUCCCAUUGUGGGCACAGCAGAAACAAAUCUGACUAUUAUCCAUGGGGAUGUGUGUUUGAUCCCAGGCCUCGCUCAGGGGGUUAAGGAUAGGGCAUUGCCGUGAGCUAUGGUGUAUGUCACAGAUGCUGCUCAGAUCCUGCAUUGCUGUGGUUGUGGCCUAGGCUGGCAGCUGCAGCUCUGCUUAGACCCCUAGCCUGGGAACUUCCAUAUAAGGGUGCGGCCCCAAAAAAGAAAAAAAAAAAAUUAGUCACCACAUUACAGUAGUUUAUCAAAGAUUUCUUUCUUGGAGUUCCCUUGUGGUUCAGUGGGUUAAGGAUCUUGCCUUGCCACUGCUGUGGCCCCAGUCGCUGCUGGGUUGUGGGUUCAACCUGUGGCCUGGGAGCGUCCACAUGCCACAGGUGCAGCCAAUAAAGGGAAAAAAAAAAAAAGACUUCUUUCUUAUAGAUGACCUCCAGCAGAGAAAAAAAGAGAUGGACGGGGAAACACUGGCUUUAACUGCCUCAGCCUGGAAGGAACCCAUGUCAUUUCUGCUUACAUUUCAUUAGCCCCAAUCAAGCAGUAUACAGACAUUCGGUGAACACAUCCUGCCUCUGCCCCCAAGAACCACACGGCUCCUGCCAAGGGCAGGUAAAAGGUCAAGGGCCUGCCAGCUCAGCCCAUCAGUGCAGAGGGGAGAAGGGGGCUGAGGGCCAAAGGACCAAGAUCUGGGCUGGUGGUUGGGAAGUGGGGAACAAUGGGUGGGAUUCAGGGAUUAACCGAGUGUCACAAGCUCCAAACUCCAAUGUUUGGGUGGUGCCCCGUUUCUAUUGUCUUGACUAUUUCUCCAAAGAAGUGAGCCAACACUGAACUUCUUGGCUAAGACUCGGAACUCUUAUUAUCUAGGUUUUGGGGGCUGCUAAUUACAGGAUCUGACCCGAAUUAAGGGAACAAUGUAAUAGGAAUAACAAUUCCUGACUUUUUAAACUUCAGAGUUUACAAAUCAUUCUCACAGCCAUAAUCUUAUUUGACCCUUACAAUAGCCCCAUGACGUAGAUAUGUUAUCUCCAUUGUCCGGUAAGGAAAUGCAGAGAAAGAUGUUGUCAUGGACCAAAAUCACACAAAACCUUAGCAGGCUAGCGUAGUCCUCGGUGCCAGUUUUCUGAACCCAGGCUCAGAGAUUCUCGUGCAGCUCAACUCUUCCCAUGCAAAUUUCUAUGGAAAGUGACAACAUGAAAAUGAACUUCAGCCGGAUUUGGAUUCAAAAGCUUGGGUGCUCUGGGUAUUCAAGAAGGAGGAAUUUCUUUUUUUUCUUCCCCUUUUUAGGGCUGCACUCAGGACUUAUGGACGUUCACAGGCUAGGAUGUUCUUGGGGUCGAAUUGGAGCUACAGCUGCCGGCCUAUGCCACAACCACAGCAAUGCCAGAUCCAAGCCGCGUCUGCAGCCUCCACCACAGCUCACGGCAAUGCCAGAUCCUUAACCCGAUGAGCAAGGCCAGGGAUCGAGCCUGCAUCUUCAUGGAUCCUAGUGGGGUUUGUUAACUGCUGAGCCAUGAAGGGAACUCCCAAGAAGGAGGAACUAUAACAUGCGGGUGUCGAAGGUAGACAAGCUGGGUUCGAAUCCCAGCCCUGCCACCUGCAAUCUGGGUGGGGGUUGGCAAGUUCUCUCUGUGCCCACUUCCUUCAUUUGCUAUUUUUUAGUAUUAGUUUUCUUUCUUAUUACAGUUGAUUUAUAAUGUUGUGCCCCCGUCUGCUAAAUAGCAAAGUGAUCCAGUCAUAUAUACACAUACAUUUUUUUUCUCAUACCAUUUUCCAUCAUGUUCUAUCCCAAGAGAUUGGAUCCAGUUCCCUGUGCAGUACAGUAGGACUUCAUUGCUUAUCCAAUCUAAAUGUUAUUGUUUGCAUCUGCUAACCCCAAACUCCCAGUCCAUCCCACUACCUCUCCAUCCGCCUUGGCAACCACAGGUUUGUUCUCUAUGUCUGUGAGUCUGUUUCUGUUUUGUAAAUAGGUUCAUCUGUGCCAUAUUUUAGAUUCCACCUAUAAGCGAUAUCAUAUGGCAUAUGUCUUUUUCUUUCUGACUUACUUUGCUUAGAAUGAGAAUCUCUAGUUGCACCCAUGUUGCUGCAUGGUAUUAUUUCAUUCUUUUUUUACGGCUG
rnacentral:lncRNA from 1 species